rnacentral:rRNA from 1 species
GCAUAUCAAUAAGCGGAGGAAAAGAAACCAACAGGGAUUGCCCCAGUAACGGCGAGUGAAGCGGCAACAGCUCAAAUUUGAAAUCUGGCCCCCGGGUCCGAGUUGUAAUUUGUAGAGGAUGCUUUUGGCGAGGUGCCUUCCGAGUUCCCUGGAACGGGACGCCAUAGAGGGUGAGAGCCCCGUCUGGUCGGACACCGAGCCUCUGUAAAGCUCCUUCGACGAGUCGAGUAGUUUGGGAAUGCUGCUCAAAAUGGGAGGUAUAUGUCUUCUAAAGCUAAAUAUUGGCCAGAGACCGAUAGCGCACAAGUAGAGUGAUCGAAAGAUGAAAAGCACUUUGAAAAGAGGGUUAAAAAGUACGUGAAAUUGUUGAAAGGGAAGCGCCUAUGACCAGACUUGGGCCCGGUGAAUCAUCCAGCGUUCUCGCUGGUGCACUUUGCCGGGCACAGGCCAGCAUCAGUUUGGCGCGGGGGAGAAAGGCUCUGGGAAUGUGGCUCCUCCGGGAGUGUUAUAGCCCACUGCGUAAUACCCUGCGCCGGACUGAGGUACGCGCAUUGCAAGGAUGCUGGCGUAAUGGUCAUCAGCGACCCGUCUUGAAACACGGACCAAGGAGUCGUCUUCGUAUGCGAGUGUUCGGGUGUCAAACCCCUACGCGUAAUGAAAGUGAACGCAGGUGAGAGCUUCGGCGCAUCAUCGACCGAUCCUGAUGUUCUCGGAUGGAUUUGAGUAAGAGCAUACGGGGCCGGACCCGAAAGAAGGUGAACUAUGCCUGUAUAGGGUGAAGCCAGAGGAAACUCUGGUGGAGGCUCGCAGCGGUUCUGACGUGCGAAUCGAUCGUCAAAUAUGGGCAUGGGGGCGAAAGACUAAUCGAACCUUCUAGUAGCUGGGUUUCCGCCGAAGUU